GUGACAUUGGGGACUCCCCACGCCCGUGGAUCGUAGGAAAAAAAAAAUUACACCACUUGCGGCGGCGCAAGCGCGCGAGUACCUGGGCACCGCGUCAGUAUAUUAUUAUUAUUAUUAUUAUGUGUGGUUUAUUUUUCGUGUAAUAUUAUUAUACUUAUAUAGGCUUGCACGUUGCACGCCCGACCGACUGCCAGUAGUCUUGUAUAAGGUAUGAUAUUGGUUCAUUCACUCGAACGGGCCUCAUGCGGCGGCGGUUUCCUCCCGCCACGGCUGUUCUCAAAUUCACCGAUCGUCAGCGUGCACGCGGCGGUCCGAUGUAGUACCUGUCAUUUCACGUGUCUGGCGCGUGGUAUAGUCGUCGAGUGGGAAAGAUUGUUAGUUGGGAACGUAUGAAGAACGGCAUUUUAAGUAACUUUUUAUUAUCGACCGUAGGUCUCGCAGACAUAUGUACACAAACGGAUUUGAAUCACAUGUGACUUUUGUGCUGGUUCUGCAACGGACGAUCUUCUCUUGUCGUGAAUAUGAUACUGCAGUAGUCCAAUGACAUUAAAGCGAUGAGGGACUUUUGGCACACACUGUACGACAGAAAUUAAAUAUUAUAAUAUGUUGGUCGUGAUCAUUCGACCCGCCCAUUGUUUUACCCUACCACAUUUAGACCCGACCAAUUACACGACUCCACGAUCGAGGUAACAGUUCGCCGUUUGUAUAUAAAAACGAUGUGCAUACGAAAUCAUGCAAACGAAUCAACUUAGAAUCGCCACUACAAGCGAUCCACCGAGGAGUAAAUUCCGAUAUCGUACAGCAUAAUAUUAUACAGGUUUGUAUAACGACAACAACAACAACAAUA